rnacentral:rRNA from 1 species
GAAUAUUGCGCAAUGGGGGAAACCCUGACGCAGCAACGCCGCGUGAGUGAGGAAGGUCUUCGGAUUGUAAAACUCUUUUGUUAGGGAAAAAUGGAUGAGUAACUAAUAGCGCUCAUUUUGAUGGUACCUAAAGAAUAAGCACCGGCUAACUUCGUGCCAGCAGCCGCGGUAAUACGAAGGGUGCAAGCGUUGUUCGGAAUUAUUGGGCGUAAAGCGCGCGCAGGCGGAUCAGUAAGUCAGGUGUGAAAUCUCGAAGCUCAACUUCGAAACUGCGCCUGAAACUACUAGUCUAGAAUGUCGGAGGGGGCAGGGGAAUUUCACGUGUAGGGGUAAAAUCCGUAGAGAUGUGAAGGAACACCGGAGGCGAAGGCGCCUGCCUGGACGACUAUUGACGCUGAGGCGCGAAAGCGUGGGGAGCAAACAG